UUUUAAAGAAAAUUGUUUGUUGAGUCUUUUGAGAUGUUUUAUUUUCUUUCUGGUUCCACGAAGAUUAUUUUAUUCUAGCGCAGCUCGCCUUGGUAAUCAGACACCGGCUUCACUUUUUGGAGAGAGGAUCUAUCUAAGUUCUGUUUCGUCAAGGAUGUGCCUAGGAAUGACCAUUUUUGAUCUUAUCAUUGACAUGAGAAUUAAAAGCUUCCGGAUUCAAGGAUCAGAUUCAUCUAUCUCAACCUGAGUGUCCGGAGGGAGGAACGCUGAAGUUUCAAGCCCUCUGCAUCAAUCGCCCACACAUCCAUCAGACCGGUGAAAAAUACCUCCAGAAAAUUUGAACCAGAAUCUUGAACUCUAAAGAGUUAAUGUAACAUUUAUUAAAGAAGCA
rnacentral:lncRNA from 1 species